UUCAUAUACCCUUCAACCCAGAUUCUCCAAAUGAAGAGAGAAAACUCUUCCACCUUCCCUUAAGGCUUUCAUGCCCUGUACCUAAUCACAGUUACCUUUCUCCCUCCCUGAUUAAUCACCUCUAGCCACUUCAGACUUUGCCAGGCAUGAAACUGCCCCCAUGAUUCAAUUAUCUCCCACCAAGUCCCUCCCACAACACGUGGGAAUUAUGGGAGCUAAGUUGGUGUUAUUUUCAGUUUUUUCUUCCCUAGAAUUUUUUUUCAUAUAGAAAAAUAAGAUAUUUUUAAAAUUUUCUUUCAGAUUUGCGGUUGGAAGAUGAUACAAUCGGCUGUAAAGAAAUGCCCACCUCUGAAAACUGUCCAUCUUUUGCUCUACAUCAGAAAAUAAGUAGACAGAAACCAC
rnacentral:lncRNA from 1 species